UCCUACGGGCGGCAGCAGUGGGGAAUAUUGCACAAUGGGGGGAACCCUGAUGCAGCGACGCCGCGUGGGUGAAGGAGCACCUCGGUGCGUAAAGCCCUAUCGGCAGGGAAGAAAGGGGAGGCGACUCCCCCGGACGGUACCUGACUAAGAAGCCCCGGCUAACUACGUGCCAGCAGCCGCGGUAAUACGUAGGGGGCAAGCGUUAUCCGGAUUUACUGGGUGUAAAGGGAGCGUAGACGGCAAUGCAAGUCUGGAGUGAAAGGCGGGGGCCCAACCCCCGGACUGCUCUGGAAACUGUAUGGCUGGAGUGCAGGAGAGGUAAGCGGAAUUCCUAGUGUAGCGGUGAAAUGCGUAGAUAUUAGGAGGAACACCAGUGGCGAAGGCGGCUUACUGGACUGUAACUGACGUUGAGGCUCGAAAGCGUGGGGAGCAAACAGGAUUAGAUACCCCUGUAGUCAAC
rnacentral:rRNA from 1 species